rnacentral:rRNA from 1 species
ACUGGUAGGCUUGGGACCGGGAGAGGUGGGAGGUACUCCAGGGGUAGGGGUGAAAUCUCGUAAUCCUUGGGGGACCACCGAUGGCGAAGGCAUCCCACCUGAACGGGUCCGACGGUGAGGGACGAAAGCUGGGGGCACGAACCGGAUUAGAUACCCGGGUAGUCCCAGCUGUAAACGAUGCUCGCUAGGUGUCAGGUGCGGUGCGACCGCAU